ensembl:lncRNA
AGUGCCUAUGUUUCCAGAAUUCUGUGCCACCUACUUAUUCCAAAAUGACUGUCAUUCUUAGGAAGCUUACUGGAAGGCCAGCAUUGUGUCUUUGUGCCGCAAGAGUUAGAUGGCAUUGAUCCUUUACAUGUUUCACCUCUCAGAGCUCAGUGUCUGCAGAGGUGACAGAGCUUUGCCCUGUUGGUGACUGGCAAAUUGUGAUUGAAAUUGGAGAAAAAGCUGAAAUUUAUGUAGGACAGUUCUGGCUGGUGUGUGUAAACAUGGGUGUAGGAUUUGUGGGUUUGUUGUUUUGUCAUGUUUUGUUUUGGAGGGCUGAUGGUCGUUUUGUGUUCUGGAGGAUUUUGGAUUGUGUUCAGUAUAAGCACUCUUUUGAACACUCUCCUAUGUUACAGAUACACUACAGCUGCUAAAUCAUCACAUUGCUUUGCGUACUGCAUACACAGCUAAGUCUUAGUAUUUUUAUUUUUUCUUAGGACUUAUAAUACGUGUUUAAAUGUAAGAAGAACAUGAUUAGAAAAAGGAAAAAAAACCCCAAAACUGUUUAAAGAAAUACUUUGGGGCCAGACAAGGUAUCCUAAUGCUCACUGAUCCAUUUCCAACAGCUUUACUAAUAAGUGGAAAGUUGGUUUUCUUUCUGGAAAGGAAAAAAAAAGCAAAAGAAAGAAAGAAUCUUCUUAGUCUAAAGGAGGCAGAACCCAUCCAUGGAAAGAAAUCGGCUGAACUGUGCAUUAACCUUUUCAGCUUAUAUUAUUUUAAUACAUUCACAGUUUGGUUUCUAUCUCUCUAGGUCUUUCUCCCAUUGUAUAUUGAAACAAUCUUUUCAUAUAGAUGCUAUGCUCAUGUAAAUUCUCAUAUUUUGAUUUUUUUUUUUUUUACCUCUGUAAACACUAUCAGCCUCCUGGGAAGACAAAUAUAAUUUUUUCUUAUGUUUCUCUUUUACUUAAUUGAGGUAAUCAGUUCAAUACAGCCUCACUGAGCUGAGCUGAACUUGAGAUGGAUCUGAAAAUGACAAGAAUUGAUUUUCAAGACUGAAAAAGUAAUGAGACAUACACUGAAUCCCCUUAAGCCAAAAUCAUUACUUUACAGACCAACUGCCCUAUUGUUGAUGAAAUUACUUGUAGAGCUCUUCAGGAAGUUUCUUCAGGAGGGUGCUAUAACGUACACCGCCGGAGGGGUUACAGCACACUUAAAGAUAUCACUGCAGUAGAAGCUAAGUACAUGGUCAACAGCCUGGCAAUCUUUAUAAAUUUAAGGAUAAAUUCUAACUGUAAAGUUCACUGAUUUUCCAACAUGUUCAAUUUUCAGUAGUUAUAUCAAUAGAACAAUCUCAAUAUAUAAUGUAGUUUCUCCUCACUAGAAGCAACCAUCUCUGCGAUAGCAGUACUGGAGUCACCAGGUAAAUCAUGGGCCAAAUUGGUUAAGAAUCUAGGAAUUUCUUAAAGCAACUUCCAAUAAAUAAUAAUAAUAAAUGUUUAUCUAACUAUAUUUCCAGCCUUCUUGUUCUAUUCAGUUGCUGCUCUGAAACCAGCCACCAGCCAUGUUAGUUUUCCAGAAGACUGGAGCGCUUCUUUGUGGAUGACUUUUUAAUGCACUGUUACCAAGCCUAUGAAAAUAGUCUGAGGCUUAAAAAGGCAGUCAGGAAUUAUGUUAAUUGAUAUGACUCUGAGAAUAACCCUGCAGUCAUAAUCAGCUGUAAGCGGAAUUGCCAGCAUAAAUACCCUGUAAAGAUCCAAUAACCCUCUCCUCCUUCCACAUCCGAGUGGGAGGGAUAACAGAGACCUCUCUCUGCAAGGUUCAGGACCAAAAACCCACCCGAAUAAAUGAAGUUCUGAUUACAUUUCCUAAUUAAGAUUAAGAGGAAGGCAGCAAAUAUGGCUGCCAGUGUACCAGCCUGCCAUCAAAACCAGAAUGGGCAUACAUGCCUGUGAGGUAACAGGGAGAAAAGCUGGAACAGUCAAUAUCCAGGAUGAACUCUAGAAAAGCACUGCUUGUUGACCAUGCUGGCUGAACCGGACAGAAUGACAAAGCCUCACCGUAUUACACUGACAAGUUCUGUACCUUACCUUGGAAAAGACUUGCUGCAGUAACAGAGAAUUUACUGAACAGCAUUGAGAAGUAGUCUGGAAAUCUCCCUUCAAAGAUAAAUCAUUUUCUUAGAGGCGGAGAGCUGUGUCACAUGGUGCCUUUUUGUGCUCUUUAAACACCACCUGCAUUCUCUUACAGUUUCCCUUCUCCUCCCUCCAUCAGAUAAGAAAUCCUAGGAAGGCAGGCAUAAGUGUGGAAUCUUUUUAUUCUUAUUGUAGUCUUUGCACUUAAGAAUAAAUAGCAAAAUUAUGAC